UGCAGUCGAGCGGUAGCACAGAGAGCUUGCUCUCGGGUGACGAGCGGCGGACGGGUGAGUAAUGUCUGGGAAACUGCCUGAUGGAGGGGGAUAACUACUGGAAACGGUAGCUAAUACCGCAUAACGUCGCAAGACCAAAGUGGGGGACCUUCGGGCCUCAUGCCAUCAGAUGUGCCCAGAUGGGAUUAGCUAGUAGGUGGGGUAACGGCUCACCUAGGCGACGAUCCCUAGCUGGUCUGAGAGGAUGACCAGCCACACUGGAACUGAGACACGGUCCAGACUCCUACGGGAGGCAGCAGUGGGGAAUAUUGCACAAUGGGCGCAAGCCUGAUGCAGCCAUGCCGCGUGUAUGAAGAAGGCCUUCGGGUUGUAAAGUACUUUCAGCGGGGAGGAAGGCGAUAAGGUUAAUAACCUUGUCGAUUGACGUUACCCGCAGAAGAAGCACCGGCUAACUCCGUGCCAGCAGCCGCGGUAAUACGGAGGGUGCAAGCGUUAAUCGGAAUUACUGGGCGUAAAGCGCACGCAGGCGGUCUGUCAAGUCGGAUGUGAAAUCCCCGGGCUCAACCUGGGAACUGCAUUCGAAACUGGCAGGCUAGAGUCUUGUAGAGGGGGGUAGAAUUCCAGGUGUAGCGGUGAAAUGCGUAGAGAUCUGGAGGAAUACCGGUGGCGAAGGCGGCCCCCUGGACAAAGACUGACGCUCAGGUGCGAAAGCGUGGGGAGCAAACAGGAUUAGAUACCCUGGUAGUCCACGCCGUAAACGAUGUCGAUUUGGAGGUUGUGCCCUUGAGGCGUGGCUUCCGGAGCUAACGCGUUAAAUCGACCGCCUGGGGAGUACGGCCGCAAGGUUAAAACUCAAAUGAAUUGACGGGGGCCCGCACAAGCGGUGGAGCAUGUGGUUUAAUUCGAUGCAACGCGAAGAACCUUACCUGGUCUUGACAUCCACAGAACUUAGCAGAGAUGCUUUGGUGCCUUCGGGAACUGUGAGACAGGUGCUGCAUGGCUGUCGUCAGCUCGUGUUGUGAAAUGUUGGGUUAAGUCCCGCAACGAGCGCAACCCUUAUCCUUUGUUGCCAGCGGUUCGGCCGGGAACUCAAAGGAGACUGCCAGUGAUAAACUGGAGGAAGGUGGGGAUGACGUCAAGUCAUCAUGGCCCUUACGACCAGGGCUACACACGUGCUACAAUGGCAUAUACAAAGAGAAGCGACCUCGCGAGAGCAAGCGGACCUCAUAAAGUAUGUCGUAGUCCGGAUUGGAGUCUGCAACUCGACUCCAUGAAGUCGGAAUCGCUAGUAAUCGUAGAUCAGAAUGCUACGGUGAAUACGUUCCCGGGCCUUGUACACACCGCCCGUCACACCAUGGGAGUGGGUUGCAAAAGAAGUAGGUAGCUUAACCUUCGGGAGGGCGCU
rnacentral:rRNA from 1 species